rnacentral:lncRNA from 1 species
GAAAUUGCAGUGAAGAGGCUCUCACGGAAAUCAGGACAAGGAUUAGAGGAACUUAUGAACGAAGUGGUUGUGAUAUCGAAGCUGCAACAUCGGAAUCUAGUGAAAUUACUUGGAUGUUGCAUUGAAGGUGAAGAAAGGAUGUUAGUCUAUGAAUAUAUGCCAAAGAAAAGCUUGGAUGCAUAUCUAUUUGGUAAAAUUUAUCACCUCUGUUUUCAACUCUGUUUUUCACCAUUUUGCUCUGGAUACUAAUGAUCUUGCUACCUUUUUCUCAGACCCAUUGAAGCAAAAGAUUCUUGAUUGGAAGACUCGGUUCAACAUAAUGGAAGGAAUUUGCAGAGGUCUUUUGUACCUUCACAGAGAUUCAAGACUAAAGAUCAUACACAGAGAUCUAAAAGCCAGCAACAUUUUGUUAGAUGAGAAUCUAAACCCCAAGAUAUCUGAUUUCGGACUUGCAAGAAUUUUCCGAGCGAAUGAAGAUGAAGCUAACACAAGAAGGGUUGUUGGAACGUAGUAAGUAUCCAUUCCCAAAUACAUAAGAAACAUUGUGGUAUGCGGGUUUAUUGAAAUUUUGUUUUUGCAGUGGCUACAUGUCACCAGAAUAUGCAAUGGAAGGUUUCUUUUCAGAAAAAUCAGACGUUUUCAGCUUGGGGGUUAUAUUUCUAGAGAUCAUUAGUGGGAGAAGAAACUCUAGUUCUCACAAGGAAGAGAGUAAUCUGAAUCUUUUGGCUUAUGUAAGUGUACUAAGCAGUGUUUAGUAACUUAUAGUUAAAUUAAGCCAUUGAAACUUACCUCAAAGUGGGUUGUUACAGGCAUGGAAGUUGUGGAACGAUGGUGAGGCUGCCUCUCUAGCAGAUCCAGCCGUCUUUGAUAAGAGUUUUGAGAAAGAGAUAGAGAAAUGUGUUCAUAUUGGACUGUUAUGUGUGCAAGAAGUAGCAAACGAUAGACCUAAUGUUUCAAGCGUGAUAUGGAUGCUAACUACCGAGAAUACAAACCUCGCCGAGCCGAAGCAGCCUGCAUUUAUAGCAAGAAGAGGAGCUUCUGAGGCUGAAUCUUCUGACCAGAGUAGUCAAAAGAUAUCCAUCAAUGAUGUGAGCCUCACAGCUGUAACAGGGCGUUAAUCUCACCCAGCCAAUCUCAGCCUGUUUAUAUAUAAUAAAUCUGUAAUAUAUACGUUUUGAGAAACUCCUAUGUUUACAAAUUUUGUUAUUCUACGUUUGUUCAAUGGUUAGAUGAAUGAAUAAGAGAUGUAUUUCAGAGAAGUUAUUUUUAGAUUCAACUGAGCUUUGUUGAAACUUUACAUAUUCUUAGAUAUGAUCAGAUUUUUGGAAUAAACUAACCUGGAUUAAGAAACUGAACCUGAAGGAAGAGGAGAAGAACAAAAAUCACCCAUGUUCUUGAGAAGCCACAGUAGGGUUUUGUUUUAAGACAAGGAACUAAAACACUAUUAUUAGUUUUGUGUUUUUGGGUAGUUUUGCUAUAGUACAUAGAAACAAACGUGGAUAAUGGAUAAGACUAUAAGAUCAGAAUUGACUUUU